GAUGAACGCUAGCGGCAGGCCUAACACAUGCAAGUCGAGGGGUAAGGUAGCAAUACCUGAGACCGGCGCACGGGUGCGUAACGCGUAUGCAAUCUACCUUUUACAGAGGGAUAGCCCAGAGAAAUUUGGAUUAAUACCUCAUAGCAUAGCAGCUUCGCAUGAAGUCACUAUUAAAGUUCCAACGGUAAAAGAUGAGCAUGCGUCCUAUUAGCUAGAUGGUAAGGUAACGGCUUACCAUGGCUACGAUAGGUAGGGGUCCUGAGAGGGAGAUCCCCCACACUGGUACUGAGACACGGACCAGACUCCUACGGGAGGCAGCAGUGAGGAAUAUUGGACAAUGGGCGCAAAGCCUGAUCCAGCCAUGCCGCGUGCAGGAAGACGCAUCUAUGGUGUGUAAAACUGCUUUUGUACGGGAAGAAACACUCCUACGUGUAGGAGCUUGACGGUACCGUAAGAAUAAGGAUCGGCU
rnacentral:rRNA from 1 species